CCUACGGGAGGCAGCAGUGGGGAAUAUUGCACAAUGGGCGAAAGCCUGAUGCAGCAACGCCGCGUGAGCGAUGAAGGCCUUAGGGUCGUAAAACUCUGUCCUCAAGGAAGAUAAUGACGGUACUUGAGGAGGAAGCCCCGGCUAACUAGGUGCCAGCAGCCGCGGUAAUACGUAGGGGGCUCGCGUUAUCCGGAAUUACUGGGCGUAAAGGGUGCGUAGGUGGUUUGUUAAGUCAGAGGUGAAAGGCUUCGGCUCAACCGUAGUAAGCCUGUGAAACUGGGGAUCUUGAGUGGAGGAGAGGAGAGUGGAAUUCGUGGUGUAGCGGUGAAAUGCGUAGAUAUUAGGAGGAACACCAGUUGCGAAGGCAGCUCUCUGGACUGUAACUGACACUGAGGCACGAAAGCGUGGGGAGCGAACAGGAUUAGAUACCCCAGUAGUC
rnacentral:rRNA from 1 species